CAGCAGCCACGGUAAUACGGAGGAUCCAAGCGUUAUCCGGAAUCAUUGGGUUUAAAGGGUCCGUAGGCGGUCUUGUAAGUCAGUGGUGAAAGCCCAUCGCUCAACGGUGGAACGGCCAUUGAUACUGCAGGACUUGAAUUAUUGGGAAGUAACUAGAAUAUGUAGUGUAGCGGUGAAAUGCUUAGAGAUUACAUGGAAUACCAAUUGCGAAGGCAGGUUACUACCAAUUGAUUGACGCUGAUGGACGAAAGCGUGGGUAGCGAACAGGAUUAGAGACCCGAGUAGUCCCUGUCUCUUAUAC
rnacentral:rRNA from 1 species